GACGAACGCUGGCGGCGUGCUUAACACAUGCAAGUCGAACGGAAAGGCCCUGCUUUUGUGGGGUGCUCGUUUGGCGAACGGGUGAGUAACACGUGAGUAACCUGCCCUUGACUUUGGGAUAACUUCAGGAAACUGGGGCUAAUACCGGAUAGGAGCUCCUGCUGCAUGGUGGGGGUUGGAAAGUUUCGGCGGUUGGGGAUGGACUCGCGGCUUAUCAGCUUGUUGGUGGGGUAGUGGCUUACCAAGGCUUUGACGGGUAGCCGGCCUGAGAGGGUGACCGGCCACAUUGGGACUGAGAUACGGCCCAGACUCGUACGGGAGGCAGAAGGGGGGAAUAUGGCACAAUGGGCGGAAGCCUGAUGCGGCAACGCCGCGUGCGGGAUGACGGCCUUCGGGUUGUAAACCGCUUUCGCCUGUGACGAAGCGGGAGUGACGGUAAUGGGUAAAGAAGCACCGGCUAACUACGUG
rnacentral:rRNA from 1 species